AGAAUGAACUGUGAGAAGAGUUAAAAGCAAACUUGACCUGUGCUCAGCCCCGGACAUUAGGGGGGUGUUUGUUACAGCCGUCAGCCUGCCUUGACUAACAAACACAGCUGCAGUGAGUUGAGAGUCAUUUCUGUGAGUGGAGGUAAAGCCUGGGGGCCGUAGGCCGCUCAGGCGGAGUCCAGCCUGGGAGGAGAGGCCGAGGAUGGAGCCAGGAACGCCUGGCUGAAGGAGGCGCUGCAAAAGAGCCAGCCACAGACAGGUGAAGAGGAGCAGUCAGAGAAACAUUUCCCUGUGAGAUGUGGUUCUGAGAGAGGAGAUUGGAAAUGCGGGAAGUGUAACGUGCGAGCCUCUGUGACCUGGGCCUGGCAACACACACCUGGUGAUUUCAUGUGGACAACAUAGUGGAUCACUCAAAGGAGUAACAGAGGAGGUUUGAAGAUAACAUAUAACCAGAAAGAAACUAGAGGCCAGUCGGCUUCUUAAGAGAUACCCAUGGUCUUCUAUAGCCCAGAUGAACUUUGAAUCGUGCCUCAACUCCGCCUUCAGGAAUUACUACGCAUAAAAUAGUAACACAGCAAACCAUGGCACUGCGCGUUCUCCAUCAGCUGGAAGGACUUGUGUUCAUCCUCCCUCGCUCUCCAGCCUGGCCGUUCUUUGUGCUGAGAGCAUGUGACAGUUCUAAGAGAGGGCCCCUGGUAGAGGUUAAGAUCUUGAAUAUGAAACAUUUUCUUGUGUGCAGUCCCCACCUGUCCUGAGUAGCAAUUACUAUUAUUAUUAUAUGAUUGCCAACAAUGAUUACACAUGUAAUUGUAUACAGAUCUAUCAUUACAUAGAUAAUUUGUACGGCAUUUACAGUUUUUUCAAAGCAACGUCCGUACAUAUCAUUUGCUUCCCACAGCAGCCCUGUGAUGUGGGAAGUCGGGUUAUCUUCAAAUAUCCGGAUGAGGAAGUCAAUGUCCAGAGACAAAGUGACGAGCAGAAGCCCGGGAACAAACCCAGGGGCCUGACUUCUGGUUCUGGGCUUUUCUAAGACUCUCUUUUGUUUUCCAAAACUCCAGUCUUCCGAAACUAUGUACUUCCCUUGUCGACUUAUUCGUGCGUUCAUUUCAUGAAUGGUUUUGAGCUCCAGGCACCUGUCUUCCUCUUGGAUAGACAGCAGUGAAAAAUCAAAGCCCACACCAGCUCUUUCUGUCCAUAGGAUCAGGCCCUGUGAGGGCCACCGCUGUGGUGAAGGGCACAGACGCUGGGGCCAGUCUGUGAGGAUUAAAUGACUCGAUAUUCAUAGGUGCCUGGAUCCUACCUGGUACACAGUAAGCCCUGCACAAGUGUUAGUCACGAUGGUAGCCUCCUUUGUGGGGAGGCUGAAAAAACAAAUGUGUGCCAAGAUGAUAAAAAGCUUUAGAACGCUUUGCAGCAAAUUUUGGGUGACGACUUUACGCUUAUUUCUUUCUGGUCUUUUCUUCUUGCAGUAACUACUUAUUUUCUCUUCCCCCAUACCCUUAAUAUAACAUUAUAAACAUCUCAUGGCCAAUUUAAAAAGCUAUGCAUUUGGGCUUCUCUUCCAGAGCUAUCUGCAGCUUUGCUCAGAUCUCAUUGUGUGCUUAAUGUAACAUUUAAAGUUAGUACCUGUCAAGGUAAGAUAAAACAGGAGUCUUUGUGUAUAUAGGUUUGCAUACUGGGGACUUUCACAGUGUCAGCGACAUAGCCUGUGCCUCUGUUUUGACAAGUGGUGGUUUGAACAUUCAAGGCUGAAACCCUCCAGUUACAUCUCAGAAACAGCCUGACUCCCCUGCUCCCCCAGAACCAUUAAAGUUUGCUGUGCUCUACAGGUCCCACCCUGUCUCCUGACUCCCCACUCAUACCAGAGCACGGAUAGAAUUGAUAUUCUUUGUGUUCCUUCCAGAAAGUUUCCUCACAGCUCUGCCAAGGCAGAUCAAUUACCUGUAUUACUUUUAUUAUUUAAAUUCUAAAUUUCUUCUUAGGAGAGUCUGCCUUCUGCCAUGAAUGAGGGGCUUGUGGGAGUGUAAAGCUUUCCAUCUUAACCCAGUGCUUCUCAAGAGGAGGGUUUGUGCAUUGAUCCAUGGCUAGGUUAACCAUAUGUCCUGAUUUGUCAGGUUAAUCAUAGUUUAUGUUUGGUGUCCUGGUAUAAUUAUUAAUAGUCUUUCAUGCUUAAAAGUAUCCUGGCUUGCGGGGCAGCCAGGUGGCACAGUUGGUUAGAGCACAAGCUCUCAGCAACAGGGUUGCCGGUUCGAUUCCCACAUGCAAUGGUGGUCUGUACCCCCUGAAAAUGGCGACUGGACUUAGAGCUGAGCUGCGCCCUCCACAACUAAG